rnacentral:misc_RNA from 1 species
GCCAGAUUUUAAUUUUCCUUUUUUUUUUUUUCUUUUCCAGCUCAUCUAGGUGCCAAGGAGACUGAAAACUGACCAGACACCAUCCGCAAAUUGUCGGACCAGGUUUUCGAAGCCAAAUACCACUUGGAAAUCUUACCUGCCACGUGUCCCAUAUCUGGCCGCUUAUCUGGAUCCACGUGUACGCAUUGUAGUGCUAGACGCGUUAGUUUCUCCGCUAUGUCCACCGGGAACGAGUCAUUCAGCCUCCUAUCCAUCCACCUCCUUAACCCCCCCCCCCCGGCACCACCGCCGCCACCGUCUAUCGCCGCUCUUGCUGUAUCUAUCAAUGACGUUCGUAUAAAAUCUCCUGUGCUCUUAUCGUAUUUGUAUUUCAGCGGCUCCUCACCGGAUAAUAACUCUAAUAUCAACACACCGAAAGCGUACACGUCGGAUUCUUGCGUCGCGAUUCCACUGGCUUGAAAUUCCGGCGACAUGUAGCCUCUCACACCUUCGAAUUGCAUAACUCCACUAUUAGAUCUCUUCAAUUGUUUCGAUUUAUCUUCAUCUUCCUCACUAACUUCAGUGAUUUCACUCUUCUCUUUCGAAAUUGAGCUCUUCUUUCUUAGGUUCUUACUCUCUUGCGGUUCUCCACACAGCUGUGCAGUACCAAAAUGACAAAUUUUGGCAUUGAAAUGUGGCUCUGUAACGAUAAUAC